AGUCAUAUGCUUGUCUCAAAGAUUAAGCCAUGCAUGUCUAAGUACAAGCCGAUCCUAAGGCGAAACCGCGGACGGCUCAUUAAAUCAGAUAUAACUCAUUGGAUCUGUACAACCCACUUACUUGGAUAACUGUGGUAAUUCUAGAGCUAAUACAUGCCUUUAGAGACUCUGACAGUAAUGGAAGAGCGCUUUUAUUAGUACAAAACCCUUCGGACCUCGGGCCGUGAGAAUUGGUGAAUCUAAAUAACUUUUGCUGAGCGUACGUUCCUCGAAACGACGCCGCAUCCUGCAAGUGUCUGCCUUAUCAGCUCUCGAUUGUAGUUUAAACGCCUACAAUGGCUAUAACGGGUAACGGGGAAUCAGGGUUCGAUUCCGGAGAGGGAGCCUGAGAAACGGCUACCACAUCUAAGGAAGGCAGCAGGCGCGCAAAUUACCCACUCCCGGCACGGGGAGGUAGUGACGAAAAAUACUGUUGAGAGACUCUAUCGAGGCUUCUCAAUUGGAAUGAGUACACUUUAAAUCCUUGUACGAGUAUCUAGUGGAGGGCAAGUCUGGUGCCAGCCGCCGCGGUAAUUCCAGCUCCACUAGCGUAUAUUAAAGUUGUUGCGGUUAAAACGCUCGUAGUCUACUCUCUGUUCUGGACUGGCGGUUCACCUUAGCGGUGCUUACUGUACAGCUCCGAGCUAUAGUCCCGUCGGCUCGCCCGGGGUGCUCUUCACCGAGUGUCCCUCGUGGCCGGCACGUUUUACUUUGAAAAAAUUAGAGUGCUCAGAGCAGGCUAACCUAACAGCUUGAAUGGUGUUGCAUGGAAUGAUGGAAAAGGACCUCGGUUCUAUUUUGAUGGCUUUCGGAACCCGAGGUAAUGACCAAUAGAAGCAGACGUGGGCAUUCGUACUGCGACGAUAGAGGUGAAAUUCUUAGACCGUCGCAUGACGAGCUACCGCGAAAGCAUUUGCCAAGGAUGUUUUCAUUGAUCAAGAACGAAAGUUAGAGGUUCGAAGGCGAUCAGAUACCGCCCUAGUUCUAACCAUAAACGAUGCUGACUAGCGAUCCGCCGCAGUUAUUCCCAUGACCCGGCGGGUAGCUUCCGGGAAACCAAAGUUUUUGAGUUCCGGGGGAAGUAUGGUUGCAAAGCUGAAACUUAAAGGAAUUGACGGAAGGGCACCACCAGGAGUGGAGCCUGCGGCUCAAUUUGACUCAACACGGGGAAUCUUACCAGGCCAGGUCACUGGAAGGAUUGACAGAUUAAUGGCUCUUUCUUAAUUCGGUGGGUGGUGGUGCAUGGCCGUUCUUAGUUGGUGGAGCGAUUUGUCUGGUUAAUUCCGAUAACGAACGAGACUCUAGCCUAUUAAAUAGUCGACGGAUCUGAUUUUACCUUUCUAUUACACACAGUCCUUGGAACUUGGCAUAUAAAUAUAUAUAAAGACAACUAGGGUGUCUAGUUCGCAAAUUCUUCUUAGAGGGAUAAGCGGCAGCAAAAAAAAUACUAGCCGCACGAGAGAUUGAGCUAUAACAGGUCUGUGAUGCCCUUAGAUGCUCUGGGCCGCACGCGCGCUACAAUGGAGAGUUCAGCGAGCUGUCCCUGCUCCGACAGGAGUGGGUAACCUUAUGAAAGCUCUCCUUAAAGGGGAUUGGGGCUUGCAAAUGUGUCCCAUGAACUAGGAAUUCCCAGUAGGCGCAAUUCACUAGAUUGCACCGAUUUAGUCCCUGCCCUUUGUACACACCGCCCGUCGCUACUACCGAUUGAAUGGUCUAGUGAGGGCAUCGGACUGGCGCUCUUGGAGUUGGGCCUCACACAUUAGCCCCGUUAUCAUCCUCAACGUCAAUGUCGUCGUCGUCUCGCCGUCUUUUCACUAAGGCGUCGGGCCGGCCCCGGCAGUUGGGGAGAGGGGCGUGGAGUAAACCUUCCUCGAGUCGACGGAAAGAUGUCCGAGCUGGGUCAUUUAGAGGAAGUAAAAGUCGUAACAAGGUUUCCGUAGGUGAACCUGC
rnacentral:rRNA from 1 species